GUGGAUAAAUUAUAUAUAAAUGUAUUAGAUUUGUAUGCGGUUGAAAACUCAAAUUUGGAAUCUAGAAAGUGGUUUUUAUUGCUGAAAAUGCUGAAGCGACAAGUUGGAUUUAAUUGCUUCGGUUUCUGUUUUUUUCGAAGACAUUCUCUUUUUAAGUUUACUGGAUGGAUGAUAACUCAAAUGAUGAUAUGGAUACUUUCAUCAAUUCAGCGAAAGAAAAAUCCAUGUAAUUCAGAAGACAUUUUUAAAAAUAAAGUUUUACUUUGAGUUUGUUCAAUAAAAUGAAACUUUUUUAUAACUAUUGUAAUCAU